GCAAGGCACUGCCCAAAAUGAUCCUGUGCAGGUGGCCCACUCAGGUGAGAGAGCUGCUAAAACUGCAUCUAUUCAAGGCUGGCUGUGGUGACGUGAACCAAAAAUUGCUGGCAGAGCAGACAGGAAACUCUCAGUGUGGAAGAACUUCACUG
rnacentral:lncRNA from 12 species